UACGAAGGGGGGCGAGCGUUUGUUCGGAUUUACUGGGCGUAAAGGGCGCGCAGGCGGUCUUGAAAGUCAGGCGUGAAAGCCCCGGGCUUAACCUGGGAAUUGCGCUUGAUACUCUGAGACUGGAGUACGGGAGAGGAGAGUGGAAUUCCUGGUGUAGCGGUGAAAUGCGCAGAUAUCAGGAAGAACACCCGUGGCUAAGGCGGCUCUCUAGUACGGUACUGACGCUGAGACGCGAAAGCGUGGGGAGCGAACAGG
rnacentral:rRNA from 1 species